rnacentral:tRNA from 3 species
GGAGAGAUGGCUGAGUGGCUUAAAGCGUCGGAUUGCUAAUCCGUUGUACAAAUUUUUGUACCGAGGGUUCGAAUCCCUCUCUUUCCG